rnacentral:rRNA from 1 species
GAUAAACGCUGGCGGCGUGCUUCAGGCAUGCAAGUCGAACGGGUUCCUUCGGUUCGCCGAAGGACACUAGUGGCGGACGGGUGAGUAACACGUAAGUAACCUGCCCAGAAGUGGGGAAUAACCCGCCGAAAGGCGAGCUAAUACCGCAUGUGAUGGUCUUUCUCUGGAGAGGUCAUUAAAGGCGUAAGUCGCUUCUGGAGGGGCUUGCGGCCGAUUAGCCAGUUGGUGGGGUAACGGCCUACCAAAGCAGCGAUCGGUAGCUGGUCUGAGAGGACGGACAGCCACACGGGGACUGAGAUACGGCCCCGACUCCUACGGGAGGCAG